CGGGGUGCAGCAGGCGCGAAAACUUUACAAUGCCGGCAACGGCGAUAAGGGAACCUCGAGUGCCAGGUUACAAAUCUGGCUGUCGUGAUGCCUAAAAAGCAUUGCAUAGCAAGGGCCGGGCAAGACCGGUGCCAGCCGCCGCGGUAACACCGGCGGCUCGAGUGGUAACCGUUAUUAUUGGGUCUAAAGGGUCUGUAGCCGGCCGGGUAAGUCUCUUGGGAAAUCUGGCAGCUUAACUGUCAGGCUUUCAGGAGAUACUGCCUGGCUCGAGGCCGGGGGAGGUGAGAGGUACUUCAGGGGUAGGGGUGAAAUCUUGUAAUCCUUGAAGGACCACCAGUGGCGAAGGCGUCUCACCAGAACGGACCUGACGGCAAGGGACGAAAGCUAGGGGCACGAACCGGAUUAGAUACCCGGGUAGUCCUAGCCGUAAACGAUACUCGCUAGGUGUCGGCCACGGUGCGACCGCGGUCGGUGCCGUAGGGAAGCCGUGAAGCGAGCCACCUGGGAAGUACGGCCGCAAGGCUGAAACUUAAAGGA
rnacentral:rRNA from 1 species